rnacentral:rRNA from 1 species
UACGGGGGGAGCAAGCGUUGUUCGGAUUUACUGGGCGUAAAGGGCGCGUAGGCGGUCGUGACAAGUCACUUGUGAAAUCUCCGGGCUUAACUCGGAACGGUCAAGUGAUACUGUCGGACUAGAGUACAGAAGGGGCAACUGGAAUUCUCGGUGUAGCGGUGAAAUGCGUAGAUAUGUGGAAGAACACCAGUGGCGAAGGCGGUUUUCUAGCUUACACCUGACGCUGAUGCGCGAAAGCGUGGGGAGCGAACAGG